AUGUGGGGGAUCGAACCCAUGAACAGUGAAAUCAUGACCUGAGCUGAAAUCGAGAGACGGAUGCUUAACUGACUGACCCACCCAAGUGCCCCUGUUUUAAUUUCUUUCAUUCAACGUACCUGUAUAGAUCACCCUGAAGAUGUUAGGUGCUGGGUGGAUUAUGAUGAGAAAUAACCUCAUGGCCCUUCCAUGGAACCCAGAGUCCAUGUGUAAUACAGACUGGUAAGUGUUGUGAUGGUAAAGUACAGACUGUUAUGAGUGUUUACACGGCUGGAGAAGGCCUCCUUGUGAGAGUGAGUUAGAGCUGAGAUCUUAAGGAUGAGGAGGGGUUGUCUCGUAGAUUCCGUAACUUACAUGAAUGUCUUCUACACGGUGGGGGCUGGUUUGUAAAGUCCUUUCGGCAGCAUGUUCUAUCAGCAUCAGUCUUGCUGUUUUUCCUUUAUUCUGAGACAGGAACUUUAGGAUUAAAUAAUUCUAUUUGGCAAGGGCAGAGUUAAAAUUUACAGUGGCAGUUGCUUUGGAUCACACCUUUUUUCUUUUUCUUUUUUUUUUUUUUUUCCCUAUGAAGUAGAGAGAGUAUCACCUGUUUGCUCCUUGCCCCCUUACCCCCAGGGCUGAUGUGAAGACCAAAUACAAUGGUAACUGUGAAGGUAGUCUCUAGGCCAUAAAGCCUAAUGUCCUAUAAGGUGGUAUUAUUUUUCCAAGUUCUUGGUCCUGCAGUGGUGUUAAUAGCUGCUUUACCACUAGGCUAAGAUGCUUACCUAUGGCAUUGACACUACAAUUCAUCUAGAAGCGUCACCUAGGAUGCUGUUUCCAAAAGGGACAUUUUCCCAAGCAGAAACAUUUGUUUUGUUUUUGAAACCCCUGCUUCAGAAAGAUAACAGUUAAAGCAAAACUAAGCAAACCACCCAAGAUUCUAGGGCAAUUGGUAGACCAUGAAAUCAACAUUCAUUGACUUCCCCUUGUGCUCCCCGUAAAUACAGUGGCAGAAUGUUGUCUUUCUUCCCUGACAAGUUAGAGUAACAAUGCUCAGAGUAGCUAAGACGAGGGAUACCUGUCACCAUCACCGUGGGGCGAGUGAUGCUGAGACACCCUGACCAGAGAGCCACAUGCAGGUGCACUCUGGGGCCUCUCCUUCUUUCUGGUCAGCAUGGUCAAACAUGUGAAUGCUCUUCCACCCGCCCCUUCCAUACAACUCUCCUUGGGGGCUGGACCAUAUCUUCAGCUUACUUUUUGUAGCUCUCUCAGCUGCAGGGCACAACAUUUGGAAGACUCAACAUUUCAUAGUCUUGUCUGGAAACAGUCACUUGGGCAGCUUUGAGACAGGCAGGUGUUCGUAUGCAGGCAGAACUGCAAUGUUCACCCUUGGCUGAACUUAGCUAGGGCCUCCGGCAGCACUACAGCAAUAACAGGGCGGGAUGACUGGGAGCCCCCAGAUUUUGUUCUCCUGUGCUGCAUAGGGGACCAGACUUGACACCCCAGGCUUCAUUUUCCCUGGGAGCAUCCAUAAAGGCGUAGCCAAAGGCUGAAGGCUACCCGGAUAGGUGACAAAGUUUGUUAAAGGAAUCCAGGCUGUCAUGUUGAUCUCAGGCCCAGUGAAGUUACGGCUCACCUAAUCUGGGAGGUGCUAGGAGAUGGGGGGACAGGGGAAGAAAAAUAUACGAAGGAGCCGCUCUCUCAGAGACUUUAGCAGGAACAGAAUGCAUUUUGCUUCUGAGCUACUUUGCUAGCAUUGGGAUGAGCAAGGCAGUGGUGAGUGCCGAUCUGGUUUUGACAACAGGCGCUUCCCGCAUCAAGUCGGAAUGUGGGCUUGCUGCUGUAGCUGAGAGAGCCGCUCUGCCCCCGUGCAGGGCUCUCUCCCACGCCAGCUUCUGGAGGUUCCGGACACCUGCUGGAGGGAGGAUUGGAUUUGUGACUGGAGCCCGCCAGCCAAGAGCAUCCAUUAAAUUCUUUGACAACAUGAGAGAACAUUUAAGCGACCAUUCCAACAGAGAAACUUCUACUUGGUUUUGGAACGAUAGCUGGGAGCCAGUGUUGGUUUAUGUUCUUCACGUAUGUAACACACGUAAGACUUUUUUUCCCGCUGUGGAGACAAGGUGAACCUCUACCACUAGACAGCUUUCCCCGGGCCUGGGCUGAAUAGGUUUGGGCAAAAGGCUUGCUUCAGUUUCUGUCUUGAUAACCAGCUUUUUUGGUCCUUAUAUUAGUCAUACAUUGCUGCACAACAGAUUACUUCAAAAUCAGCUUAAAACAACAUUCAACACUUUUUAUGUUACCUGGUUUCUGUGCGUCAGGAGUUUGGGAGCAGCUUAGCUGGAUGGUUCUUGCUUGGGCGUCUCUUCAGAUCACACUUCAGACGACUGCCACCAAGGUCCUGAAGUCACACAGUGUCACAUACGUCCCAUCUCCCAUCCUGCUGGUCACGUGGGCCAACCCCAAUGCGUCAUGGAAAGAUACUACACAAGGUCAUUAGGAACCAUCUUGGCUGCUGGCUUACCACAGCCAUUCUGCAAUAGCUACGUGAGGUGUGAAGAGAGGAGCUCCGUUUUGACUUCUUUUCCAAACGCCAUGCUGUGGGAUGGGAUUAAGAAACCACCUGCACAGUAGCGACACCUCCUCGUCUUAGUCUGAAACUCGUUUCCCUGUAAAUACAGGUAUCAGGGACAAGUUUCCUCUUUUUUGCAGUCUGUUAUUUGCUUUAUAUAUUUAGAUACUUCUAUGUUGGGUGCAUAAAUGUUGUAGAAAUGUUUAGAAACACAUCCUCUGGUUGGCUUGACCCUUUUAUCAUUAUGUAAUGCCCUAUUUUAUUAGACAAAAUAGACUUGGAAACAAAGUAUGCAUAUAGCUGCCCCUGCUUUUUUAGAGUUUGGGUAGGGGAGUUGGGGGAGAGAGAGAGGGAGGGAGAGGGAGAGAGAAUCCCAAGCAGGUGCCAUGCUCAGCACGGAGCCCAAAACCGGGCACUUUUGGUUGUGUUUGUAUGGAGCAUCUUUUUUCAUCCACUUUCAGUCUGUCUGUAUCCUUACAGCUGAAGUGAGUCCCUUGUAGGCAGCAUGUAGAUGGGUCUUGUGUUUUAUUUUUAAUUGUUUAAAUGUUUGAGAGAGCACAAGUGGAAGAGGGUUGGACAGGGAGACAGAAUCUGAAGCAGGCUCCAGGCUCUGGCAGCCCAGAGCCUGAAACGGGGCUCAAACCCACGAUCUGUGAGGUCAGGACCUGAGCCAAAGUCAUGUUAACUGAGCCACCCAGGUACCUGUCUUGUUCUUCAAAUCCACUUAGCUGUUCUGUGUCUUGUGAAUGGAGAAUUUAGUUCAUAUUUAAAGUAGUUAUUGGUAGGUAUGUACUUACUGCUAUUAAAAUCUUUUUAAAUUUUAUUAUCAUUUGUUAAUUAUUUUCUGGCUGUUUUAUAGCUGUUUCUUUUUGCUUUCUUCCUUGAUGGUUUGAUGACUUUCUGUAGUGGGAUGUGUACAUACUUUUGGUUUUUGCCUUGUGGUUACCAUGAGGCUUAUAAAGAACUUAUACCAGUCUAUUUUAAAUUGAUAGGUUGAACACAUUUUUGCCCCCCCCAACUUUUUAAUGUUUUUGAGGUCACAUUUUAUUUUGGUGCAUCCCUUAAUUGUACUAUUUUUUUUUUUACACUACCUUUGCCUUUUAACCUUAUACUAGCUUUAUGAAAUUAAUCUACUACAUUUACUAUAUAUUUACCUUUGCCAGUCUAUAUACUGUCCUAGAAUAGACAGGACAUAGAAUAUUCAGGAAUAGAAUAAUUCCACUUCAUAACCAAGCUCACUACCAGGCAGCGAGUAGGCACUCAGAUGUAAAAUGGAGGAGGGAAAAAUCCUUCUUAGAUCAGAGACAGCCAAGUUGGCUUUGAAGCCAGAACUUCUUUGAAAUCCUGAUUCUUUAAUUAGCUAUGUGACCUUGGAUAAAUUCAGCUGAAGGAAAAACACUCUGCAGAUGUGCUUUAUUACAGUAAGUACUAAUUAUAAGCAUCCUUUGUAUCUCUCUAUCCUGUCAGCAUCAAUCAGACCUGCAGGUUAUGGGAAUAUUAGUGGACCUCGGUUCUCCUGGGCAGAAGGUGGUCAUGGAAGUUUCCUCUGAAAGAUGAAGUGUUAGAAUGUUUAUGUGCUCUAUGCUAGUCUAGAAGCAGGCACCCAUGUUUAGAUGUCCAACAUCUAAAGCUCUUCUGUGGGAAUUCCUAGCCCUUCUGUAGGGGCUUUAGCUUGGGGCCUUCGGGUUCUCUGAGUCUGCUGUUCCCACAGCAGACUUAAAGGUACACCCGUGACCAGCCUUUCAAGCCCAUUGCUAAUGGAGGAAGAAAAUGAAACAAAGAUUAAUUCUGUAGGGAGUUUGGUUCUACAGGGCAGGGUAGUCUCCUUGGGAGGUGAGAUAAGAUAGAAAAAUGAUCUGGUAUAGUCUGUACUUAGCCUUACUUUGUACAAAUAAAUGUUUUCUUUUUUGUUGGCCUCACCUUUUGAUACAAAUUACAUUUUUAUAAUUUAGCCAAGCAUUAGGAAAGCAUAGAGAAAUACACUUUUAUUUGGACUUUUUUUUUUUUUUAAGAUUUUUAGUAAUUGCUACAUCCAACAUGGGGCUCAUACAACCCUGAGAUCAAGAGUUGCAUACUCCGUCAACUGAACCAGCCAGGCGCCCUUCAAAUUACUUUCUGUAUAGUGAUCUGGCAAGUUUACGGAUGUCCUCUAACAUCUUUUCUACUUGGUUUUCAUAAUUUUUAAAAAAUGUUUGAAAGCACAUGCACAAAUGGGGGAGGGGCAGAGAGAGAACACCAAAUAGGCUCUGUGCUGUCAGCAUAGAGCUCAACACGGGGCUUGAUGUCACGAACCGUGAGAUCAUGACCUGAGCUGAAAUCGAGUCAGAUACUCUACCAACCGAGCCACCCAGGUGCCCCAGGUUUUUAUGUUUUGUCAGAUACGAGGCAACCUACUAGGUCUGGGGUUGUUGGCAAAUCCUGGCCGGUUUUGGUAAAAUUUUCUCAGAACAGAGUCACUCAUACAUUUAAGUAUUGAGUACUUUUUUGUGUUACAGCAGUGGUAAGUAGUUGUGACAGAGACCUCCCUUUAAGUGAAUGUUUGUCAACACCUGUAUAAAGUCCUUAAUGGGGCGCCUGGGUGGCACAAUUAAGCAUCUGACUUGGCUCAGGUCAUGAUCUCAUGGUUUGUGAGUUCGAGACCCUCGUGGGGCUCUGUGCUGAUAGCUCAGAGGGUGGAGCCUGCAGCUUGCUUUGGAUUCUGUGUCUCCCUCUCUCUGUCCCUCCCCGACGAGUGCUCUGUCUCUGUCAAAAAUAAAUGUUAAAAAAAAAAAAAAAAGUCCUUCUUUGUUUAGGGCAGUGGAUCACAUGACUGGACAUGAAGGGAAAGCACCCUGGAAAUUAAGCUUAGUUUUAUCUAAUUUAAAGCCUGCCAAGAUUUUUUUUUUUCCUGCAAAGCCGUAAAUGCACAAAGACUUAUUUUUUUCAUUUAGGAGUGCUCGUUCAGGGGUAUUGGUCAGCAGAUCACAUGUAAAAGAGCUUUCGAGGUAGAGACUACAGCACCUAGAGAGGAAACGGCUCAUUCUCCAGUCCUAGGUGAGUGAUGACAACAUUAACCAGCAUGACAAAGAAAAAAAAUCUUGUCAAAAUUACUUGUGGACUAAAACAAAGGACACAUUUCCCACUAGAACAGAAAUAAAUUUUAAUUCAUUGAAAAGUGCAGCAGUGAACAGGGUCUUUGGAAGGGCACUUUCUAAGUCAGGUGACUUGAGAUGACACAAAGCCACGGCAGAAUAACUUCUGGGAACAGAAGAUGCAAACGCAGGAAUUCACAACACUCAGUGUGGGACCCAAGUGGUGGUGUAAGUAGAAAACCCAAAUAUUCCCACCUAGGUCACUGGUGGAUCAGAAGUACCCUUUGCUUCCUCUUAAUAAGGACCCUGGAGAAAUCCUUCUUUAGUGCUUUAAAGCACUAAUAUUUAAUUUAGAUGCUAAAAAUAAAUUUAAGAAUGUUUCUCACAGAUGAGGCUAUGACUUCCAUGGCUACUGUUACGAUUUUGUACAAAAACCUUAGUAUCGUGAAUUAAAAACGUACUUUGUAACAGUACCACUGGUCAAAUUCAGAGAUACUCAAAAAGGGGUUCCCCACUUUGUAUUUGAGGGAGACCUCUGUAAUAGGAAAUUUUGUAAGGCAGAAUCUCUAUUCAUUCCUAUGGCCUUGGAUCCCUCCUAAGGGUUAGUUUUCUACUCUGAAGGGUACCAACCAGUCCAGACCUGGCCUUCUUUAAAAGAGAAAAUAAUCAAAAUUGAAAUUCAUACAAUUAAGAGAGAAACAAGCCAAACCUCUUGCAGUGGGUUCCUCGUACAUAUACAUUCUGAAAAGUUCAGUGCAUUUUGUUGUCUGCUAGGCUAUAUAAACUGAGGCCUCUUCACAAAAGAUGAUUUUAGCACAGAUCCAGAAUGAAGCCAGUCUAAGAGAAAGUGAAAUUAUAGGCCACUCCAAGGUUAGUGGGAAGUGUACCACAUAUAGGAGAGGUACACAGGAAGGGCACCCGAUCCCCCCACCCAAACAGAAAUCGCUGAAUGUAAGAACAGUGUGGCAGGGACACUAUGGGCAGCUGACUUGUGUUGCUCUUACAACUUUACCUGCUCUCAGGAACCAGCAACCUAAAAUUGAAUAACAGGACAUCACAAUAUAAGACCUGGUAAGUAUUGGUGUCUUUUUAUUCGGGAAUAACUAUGGUCAACUUUCAUUAAGGUAGAAGUUGACUGAUUAAUGUUAAGAAUCAAAGUGUAGAAUAAAGCUAAUACCCAUAUUUAACAGUGUAGUUUGCUUUUAGUUACAAAAUAUUUAGAAUUUCUUUCCCUAAAACAUUCACAGCAGAGGUGUUCUUUCACUUGCCUCUUUCACCUCUAAAUACCACCACAGUUACUGGGAUUGCAUGAGGUAAAGGAAUAAAACCCAAUGGCUAUUAACCCAACAUGGCUCUCUAGAGUUGAUAGAGAAGUUGUUUACAGCCAUGUCUUACAAAGUGCUUAAAGCUCAACCUAAGACCUUACAUAAAGCUAAAAUCACUAAUGCCUGAGUUGAACAGGUUAUAAACCACAGCUCUUCCUCCUCCCCCUGCUGUCCCACCACAGAUAACUUUCUUGUGAAGAAAACAGUAGAAACGGGAUUGGUCUUUGAGCCCAGAAACUUACAAAUGUAGGUGUUCUAUACAGGAAACCUCAACAAGGUCUGGCUUUGCCAGGGGGAACAGUGAAUGCGGCUCAAAUUAUGCAAGACUCCAAACCCUCCAGAAGAACUUCUCUAAAAGGGAACAAGGUAAGGUAAAGCAGUUGGAACUUUGUAAAAACUGUAACAAAUGAACACAAUGUCCACAAAAUGCAGAGAGUCAAAAUUGAAACCCAGGCUCCCUGCUAGACAGGCACUUACUAAAUCCCAACAAUAGCCCUUCAACCUGUCCACCCAAGAGCCCCGUCUAUAGAAGGCCCUCAGAAAAUGCAACCUUCACCAACCCUUGUAAGUUCUUUUCCUCUACUGAGAAAUAUUAGGAUAGGAUACCUAAGCCAUUUUGUUUUUGGGAUCUCAGAGGAGUAAUUAUCAGGAGAAGAAACAUUCCCUUGAUACCUCUGUUGACUGGUACUCCAUGUGGUUAGCAGCCACCAGGAAGUCCACGGCUUUCACUUUUAGAACUACCUCGAAUUAUUAGCCUGUACCAAAAACUGUUCUAUUUAAGUGUUGCAUCAGCCCAGAAUGCAUAAAAAACAACAACAACAAAAAAACCAAAACAACACGAACCGUGCUUGGCUGACAGGUUUUGAACUUGUGACCUUAUCACAUUGUGAUGGGUAUUAUACACACUGUAUUUCUACUAAUCUGAAAAUGGCGGUACUUGUUCUUGCUCUGAUGAUUCAGCUCUGAGGGUUAUUCUUCAAGCCAUGUGAUGUUGGUAUUUUUGAUAGUGAAGUGGUUAAGCUGUAAACCAACCCUCUGCCCCCAAGCAAGUAAUUCAGACUAUGACCACAUGGGGAAUAAUCAAGAACUGUGACCCCAGGACAGAAAGGGUGUGGGUGAGGACAAAGACCUCAGGAGCAUUCGUUAUUAGGUGAAUGAAGGGACAGCCAUUCCUGACGUGUGGGCGGAGUUCACAGUUUAACACAUUGCACAAGGAAGUCAGCUGAUUGGGUUGCUUUUUCAAACAGGACUUAGAGCCAGUCCAGAAACUCUUCAAGGCGUGGUCUUGAGGACUAGCUACAGAAACCUACUACAAUCACUUCAUCAGACAGAGGUGUGCUGGGACCCAACUGCAGAGGUCGCUACAGAGGAUGUUUUGAAAACCUUCGAGUCCUGACACUGGCAUGAUUGUUGAACAUGAGACGAGGGUCAAACCUGUAUCUGAGGAGGAAAAAAAGAAAAAGGAUGUUACAUCAACUCCAGUUAGCUGCCAUGUUCCUCAUUCAGAAUGUUCGGUGGAAAGGAUGGCAGGAAGGAAGAUAAAAGGAACAAUUAAGUCCCCAGAAAGGAAUCUCGUGGCAAAGUCUGUAGUACAAAACAGAAGAACUUACUAAUUAAGAGCAUUCCCAUCACAAGCAAGCAAGCACAAAAUGAUGUAAAAUAAUCUUGAGAGGCAUUAGGAGGAGACAAGAUUUGAGCUGGUUUUUGAGGGGGAGGAGGACUCCCUAAGGUGUAAAGUAACUGAUGGCAGAGGCUAGCCCCUGUCGGAGCCUGACCAGCAGCUUCAGAGCCCUUCUUCCUUCUCACACAGUUCACACAGACCAGCAGGCAAGAGCACAGGUGUGCACCUCAGACAGACGUUUCCAUCCGGCUCAUUAUGAACUCAGUAAUCUCUAUACCCAACAUGGGGCUUGAACUCACGACCCCAAGAUGAAGAGUUACAUGCUCUACCUCCUAAGCCAGCCAGGUGCCCCUAGACAUGUAAUUUGAUUUGAUAAAACAUUCUGAGCACAGUUGUUGGAAACUGCAAAAUCAGCAUGUGUCAACUAAAAGUCUUGUGCCUUUUAGAGACUGAACUUCCUUCCUGCUUCAAGGAACUGGUGUAAGUGAGGAUGCAUUUCACUAUCUUGCAGAAGAGCUCCUGACCGACAUGGAUUUAGAAUUUAGAAGUAUGUAUACCGUAUUUAGAAGCAAAAGUAUUACAUUUCUUUCAUCAAAAGUC